rnacentral:rRNA from 1 species
AAUCAACGCUGGCGGCGCGCUUAACACAUGCAAGUCGAACGAGAAAGUGGAGCAAUCCAUGAGUAAAGUGGCGUACGGGUGAGUAACACGUGGAUCAUCUACCUCUUUGUGGGAUACAAGGAACGUGGCUAUACGCAUAAGCUCGAGAGAGGAAAGUCGAAAGACGCAGAGAGAGGAGUCCGCGGCUGAUUAGCUAGUUGGUA